UACAGGGGGGGCAAGCGUUGUUCGGAAUUACUGGGCGUAAAGGGCCAGUAGGCGGCCGACUAAGUCCGACGUGAAAUCCCAAGGCUUAACCUUGGAACUGCGUCGGAUACUGGUGGGCUUGAAUUCGGGAGAGGGAUGCAGAAUUCCAGGUGUAGCGGUGAAAUGCGUAGAUAUCAGGAGGAACACCGGUGGCGAAGGCGGGUCUCUGGGCCAUUACUGACGCUGAGGAGCGAAAGCGUGGGGAGCAAACAGG
rnacentral:rRNA from 1 species